GCCCUGGUGGCCCAAUGGUUAAGCGUUUGUCUGCUAACCAAAAGGUUGGUGGUUCAAACCCACCCAAUAGCU
rnacentral:tRNA from 1 species